rnacentral:rRNA from 1 species
UUAAAUUGAAGAGUUUGAUCAUGGCUCAGAUUGAACGCUGGCGGCAGGCCUAACACAUGCAAGUCGAACGGUAACAGGAAGCAGCUUGCUGCUUCGAUGACGAGUGGCGGACGGGUGAGUAAUGUCUGGGAA